rnacentral:misc_RNA from 1 species
CCAAACUUGGUCAUUUAGAGGAAGUAAAAGUCGUAACAAGGUCUCCGUUGGUGAACCAGCGGAGGGAUCAUUAAAGAAGUUGCAAAACUCCUUAAACCAUUGUGAAUUCUACCCUUUUUCAGGAAUAUGGUUGCUUCGGCGGGCGGUCCCAGGGGGGACCGCGGCCCGCGAGGGCGCCCGCCGGAGCUCCCGAAACCUUCUGUCAGUACUGGCCUCUCUGAGACUAAAACAAAUGAAUCAAAACUUUCAACAACGGAUCUCUUGGUUCGGGCAUCGAUGAAGAACGCAGC